GACCUUACUUCAGAAAAAAUAUGUUCCGUAUUCAAUGCUAACGUUACCGAAGCUAACGUUACCAAAGCUAACGUCAAAGAGCUUCCAUGAGAGGAUAUGUGAUAAAAGGACUGAGAGUCGUUGGAUUAAACACAUCAGGAAACGUUGAACUGCUUACCAAACAAUGGACACUGUGGAUCUGGGCAUUUAUUCAUUUGUAUUUUGAAUAUUAAAGAAAGUUGGUUUGUUACUAUAACUCAGAAGGAAAAUCUUGGAUUAAUAAAAGAUAAAGAUUUACAG